AAAUCCCUGCCCAGGCGUAACUGUGCUGCAGGGCAGGGGGCGUGGCUUGGCCUCGCUACUGGCUGCUCCCUGCGCCUGCGCCUGUUCCUGCGCCUGCGUGGUGUGGUGUCCUUCGGCUGGCUAGGCUCUAGUUGGGAGAGCCCAAAGCACAGAAGUCGGAGGUCGCUGUGGCUGUAGCGGGGGGGUCACCCCUCCACCUGACCACAAGAGGCCCAUAGGCAACAGCCAUGGUACCCAUCUAGAAUAGCCUGAUCCUGAGCCCCACUUCCACAAGCUUGGCAGCAGCUAUGUGACUCAACCAGAUAGCACAGAAGAUCUGAAGACCCAAGGCCCAGCAAGCCAAGAAAUUAAUAGAAUCUUUGAAUAUCUGGUACCGGAAGAUAAUGAAACUAGUGAUUUGGAGCAGUAGAAGAACUCACGGGAUGAAGUUUCACAUUUGGCUGCUCCAGGCGGUUCAAGUCUGCUUUGCUUCAAAAUACAGACUCACUCUCACCUUCAUGACAAUGCUGUGGUGAGUAGCAGUGUUUUAUUACAUUUUUAUUUUAUAUGCAUAACACAGAGGAAUUGUAGCAUAUUCCUCUGUGUAUGUAAUAUAGCAGGGAACGACUUAAAACUGAGUAUGGAGCAGCACUAAGGCUAAAGUUAUCUAACAUCUCUACCUCAAGGACUCCUUCUUGGCAGCCUUUUCAUUAUGCAUUUCUGGGGCAUGCUCUCUGCUCUUUAGACUCUAAGAAAGCUUUUUG